UACAGAGGGUGCGAGCGUUAAUCGGAAUUACUGGGCGUAAAGCGCACGUAGGCGGCUUGGUAUGUCGGGUGUGAAAUCCCCGGGCUCAACCUGGGAACUGCAUCCGAAACUGCCUUGCUCGAGUAUGGGAGAGGGAAGUGGAAUUUCCGGUGUAGCGGUGAAAUGCGUAGAUAUCGGGAGGAACACCAAUUGCGAAGGCAGCUCGCUGGGACGUUACUGACGCUGAGACGCGAAAGCGUGGGGAGCAAACAGG
rnacentral:rRNA from 1 species